UGUUAUUUUACUUUGUUUCUGACGUAGAAGGAGAGGAUGUAAAGAAACAAAUAAACCGAAAACCAAGAAAUAGAGACUGAAGUGGAGACAUAAUUAGCCAAUGAGUGAAAUCAGUAAAUAACUUGAUAAUCUUUAGUACUUCCAUUUAUUUUUAAGAAAGUUAAAAAUGAUCAAAAUGUGUACUGAAGACCAGCUGAGACGCUACAACUUCCGUACCUUCCAUUAACAGAAAAAAAAAUUAGGACUAGCUGGACCACAGCCUGAUAUCAGCAUUCCAGUUCAGUAGAAUCAAGAUACCCAACAGGAAUCAUCAGUGAUGUCAAGAUCCAGCAGAAAUAGCCAAGCUUCUGCCAAAUCAGCAUGAGCCACAGAAGCAAUAAGAAUCAGCUGAAAAGCUAGAAGUUCUUUGCAAUGCCUGUAUCAUAGGAGGGAAGGUUAGCAAUGACUUGAGACCAAGAAAGCAUUGUAAGAUGGGCAUCUCACAUUUUCAUCAUCAUAAAAUUCUUGAAAAAGCAAUUCUUCUGAGAUGAAGCAAAGUCCACACACAAUGGUUGAAGCUAUUUCCUUGAUAUAUUUGAAAUGAUUAAAGAAACACUUAGUAAA